rnacentral:lncRNA from 1 species
GCAGACAGCCCGGCGAACCGCGCAAUGCGCUUCUUCUGCCUGCAGCAGAGAAAAGGAAAGAAAACUCCGCAGGGGCUCCGUUGGCUUCUCCACGAGUGACAACCAUGUUUUCCCAGAUAGAAGACCGGAGCCCUGCUCCUUUGCGAUCCGCCGAGGGCUGCAGAGAGCAUCCUCAUCCAUUUGGGCACCCCUGCCCAGGAAGAGCCCGGCCAUCCCUUUCCGGACUGGAUCCUUAAGAGGUGAAUUUUCUUCCGUGGAUUCCGAUUUGCUCCGUCUGACCAGCCUAGGCAAUCCAGCAUCGCGUGGUACCAGUGCCGCUGGGCACACUGGCUUCACGCCGGCUCCGCCUCACCAGCAAGCGCAUUCCCAGGUGGUCAGGCUCAGGAUGGACCAUGAGCUUUCAAAAAGGAAAAAGGUGGAAAUCCUCAACUAUGCUGCCAUCUGAAUAAGUGUUUCUUUGUAGAUGCACAGAGUCAAGGAAAAUUACAUCCCUGCAUUAUACCAAUGUCACCAACUUUUCCUAAGCUUUUUCUGGAGGAAAUUCGCAUUUGAAUUGAUGGACUGAAUAAAGCAGAUUGCAGUCCCCAGUGUGGAUGGGCUUGAUCCAGUCUUCUAAGGACCCAAAUAAAAUAGGUGGAGGAAGCUUGAAUUUUCUGCCUGACUGUGGCGCUGGGACACCCAUCUUCUCCUGCCCUUGAACUGGGACUGACACCAUCAGUGCUCCUGGUUCUCAGACCUUCGGACAGCAGACUUGGGGCCUUCUCGGCCUCCAUUAUUGUAGGAGAAAAUGAGACACUGAGUGGGACUCAGGGAUUGCUCCAGGCCACACAGUCAGCAGGAGGCAAAGCCCAGAUUCAAAUGCAGAUUACUCAGCUCCACAAUCCACAUCCUCACAGGAGGCUGCACUCCUUGCCCAAGCGUCAGACAGGAGCAAAGAGAAAGAAGGCAACCAGCUGGCUACUUUCUUCCCUUCUUGGAUGCCUCCAACAGGGUGAGAAGGACUAAACAAAUGACCAAGUGUCAUCCCAUUUUGGACAUACUUAAAACACCCCAUGGAAUUUUUAUUCUGACUUUCUUCUGCCUGUGUGGCAUUUAUGUUUAAAUAAAAGAGAAUUCAACUCG